GAACCUGGCGCUAAACCAUUCGUAGACGACCUGCUUCUGGGUCGGGGUUUCGUACGUAGCAGAGCAGCUCCCUCGCUGCGAUCUAUUGAAAGUCAGCCCUCGACACAAGGGUUUGUCCGCGUGUGCGGGGGCCCGGCGGACGUGCCCGUCCGUCCGUCCGUCCGUCCGUCCGUCCGUCCGUCCGUCCCCCCUCGCGGCCUCGCUCCCCACGGCCCGCCGUGCGGGCCUUGGGGCUGGGGGCCCGGGGCUGCCGGCAGGGGGGGUGGCGGCCGCUCGGCUUCCGGGCCUCUCUCGCUCCCGCCCCCGCGGCCGGGGGGUGGCGGGCGUGAGGGUCCGGGCCGGCGGUCGCUCUUCUGCUCCUUCUUGGGUCGACCAGAUGUCGGCCGCGGCCGACGGACUUGGCCUCUGGCCUGCCGUAUCCGAGGUCGACCAGCAGGCCCUCUCGUCCGAAGCGAAGCGAAUCGCUUGUGCGGCCGGGCGCCGGACUGCGGCGCGCACGCGAUCGGUGGCUCCCUCCGAGGUCGACCAUACGCCGGCGGUGGUUGCCGCCCUCGGUCUCUGAGCGGCCUGGGCGUCGGGUCGACCAGCAGGCUGCCGCACUCUGUCUCUCGGCGGCCUCGCUGUCGGGUCGACCAGCAGGCUGCCGCACUCUGUCUCUCGGCGGCCUCGCUGUCGGGUCGACCAGCAGGCUGCCGCACUCUGUCUCUCGGCGGCCUCGCUGUCGGGUCGACCAGCAGGCUGCCGCACUCUGUCUCUCGGCGGCCUGGCUGUCGGGUCGACCAGCAGGCUGCCGCACUCUGUCUCUCGGCGGCCUGGCUGUCGGGUCGACCAGCAGGCUGCCGCACUCUGUCUCCGGCCGGCCUGGCUGUCGGGUCGACCAGCAGGCUGCCGCACUUUGUCUCUCGGCGGCCUCGCUGUCGGGUCGACCAGCAGGCUGCCGCACUCUGUCUCUCGGCGGCCUGGCUGUCGGGUCGACCAGUAGGCUGCCGCACUCUGUCUCUCGGCGGCCUGGCUGUCGGGUCGACCAGCAGGCUGCCGCACUCUGUCUCCGGCCGGCCUGGCUGUCGGGUCGACCAGCAGGCUGCCGCACUUUGUCUCUGGCCGGCCUGGCUGUCGGGUCGAUCAGCAGGCUGCUGGGGACGAUCCCAGUACGGCAGCAAACAGGGAUUACCUCCUUCCCGUGGGCCCACCCACCCCCUCCUUUCGCCGGCGUAGCUGGGACUCCCCGUGCCCAACUUUUUCUCCUAGUUGCUCCUCAACCCCGCUUUCAGUUUGCGUCGGCAGGUCUGAGAGGUGGAUAGUUCGUCACUGCGUUCAGCUUUUUUUCCCCUUCAUUUAUUUCCGUGUGAGGCCGGGGCCGCCGGGGCCGCCGGGGCCGCCGGGGGACGCUGG
rnacentral:lncRNA from 13 species